AACUAGAGCUAGCCACAAGUUGGCUAACAAUAGCUAGCUAGCGGGUUCACUGAAACCAACAGCCAAACGAUUGAAGACCAAUAUUCUGAGGUUUUUUUCAGCACAAUGAUCAGGUGGUGACAGGAGUCUCAUCAGGGUCAGGCAACCAGGGAAGACCAGUCUGUGACAGCGCAGAGGAGAACUUUUGCAGAUACAACACGUUAUCCUCUCUGUGCAGCAAACACUGGACAAGCAAGAAGCUUCAAAGAAUCAAAAUAUUUUAAGGCAGUCUGCCAAACCUCUAAAGUUGAUUACCAAACUGUGUCAAGGGUUGAUAUAGUAUUUUCCCGAUGACACAAAAUAUGUAAAACAAAAAAGUAAGGAAGAUCUGGGAGAUGUUAUUGAUGAUGAAUGGAUACAGAUAUGUUAAAUGCCCAGUCAUGUUUAUGUAAUCUCACACACAAAUCACUGCAUUUUAAGACAAUCCGUAGAAUGUACAAUAUGCCAAUGAAACUUAAUUUCAGGCUCUCAGAAAUGUAAUUCUUCUGCUGGAGGUGUAAAACACAAAAGGGGACAUAUUUCUAUAUGGUAUGGCUGGCUGAAUUCUGGCAAAGAGUAUGUGCUUUUAUCUCAAAAUGUCUACAUCUCCCUUUUCCCUGUUUUUGUUUGGUUGGAAAUGUUGAUACUGGAGACUGUUAUCAGAUGAAACUGUGUAACCUAGCAUUUAUAAUGGCUAAAAAAUGCAUUGCCAUUUAUUGGAAGAUUGGUUAUCCUCCCACAAUGGAUAGAAGAAAUAUAAAGUAAUGUAUCACUGGCUGCCUGAUAUGGAAUACUGUACAACAAAAGGAGUCUGUAUUGAAAACAUGCCCAGGUCAGGGGAGAUAACUUUAGGCAAUCCCUAGCUGCUGGGCUGCUCAGUCCUGGCCCUAUGGGUCUGCUGUCCUGUUGGUUGUCACUCUGGCCUUGGCCUAACACACCUGAAACCAAUAAUGAAAGUUUCACUAAGAUCCAAAAGCUGAGUGGGGUGUGUUGGGUUGGGGUGCUGCAGUGCCGUGGACCCCUAGGGGCAGGACGAGGUGACCCAGCUAU
ensembl:lncRNA